CCAGCGAGCCCACGUAAUCCGAGUCGUCCAUGCGGGCCUGCCCACACCCUGUGCCGCUGCUGCAAAGCUUGGAUCGCUCGGUGUUGUGACAGUGACCAGGCGACGAGAUUGUUCUCCACAGGCCUUGUUUAGUUGAAUUUUUUUUCAAAAUAAACACUGUAGCAUUUUAUUUAUAUAUGAUAAAUAUUGCCGAAUUAUAGACUAAUUAAGCUUAAAAAAUUCAUUUCGUAAAUUAUAGAUAAAUUAUAUAAUCAAUUAUUUUUUAUUUAUAUUUAAUGUUCUAUGUAUAUGCCGCAAGGUUCGAUAUAACGAGAAAUCUUUAAAAAUUUUGUAAAAUUUUUGGUAAGUAAAUAAGGCCACAGUCUCGAUGCUUCUCCCGGACAGCGUUUCAAAUUGUACUCGUGUAGUACUGGUUUAACUUUAACAUGAGCAAUGGAGAAUCUUUCAUGUUAAAAAAAGAGAGAGAAUGUUCUCCACAGUCUCUGCAUCCCCCGCCGCCGAUCACCGGCCUUAAGCUAAUCUCCCUCCAUUGUGCUUUUGUCUUUCUAUAAUAAAUAAAUUUACCACAGAUUAUUCCCCAUUUGAAAAAAAAAAUAUAGAAAAAAAAACUCGACCACCUAAAGGCAUGGCCUCCCCACGCUUUGCAGUAAGGGACUCCAUAGAUAAUCAAAACUAGGACAUAGAAAUUCUCCAAAAAAAAAAAACUAGGACAUAGAAGUCCUGCACUGCUACUAAAGCAGUGUUACUAGCUACUUCUAUACUGAAGGGUACUUCACAAAAAAUUCACAGAGGAGACACCAGGAUGGAAUAAGGAGAUGUCAGGAUCAAAAACAAGUUCUUGCUCUGGAUCCAAAGUUGUCAAGGGGUUGGGGGACCAUAUAGAGCGUCGCCUAGGCUGUCAACCGGGCUGUGCCGGUAAAAUUUAAGGCCCUAUACCAAACUAUAAAAUGAGGCUUAUUCUUUGAUAAAUAUGACCGUAAUAAUUAUCUUACAUACAUAUUUAUAUAUGUCUUAACCUUAGAACACUAGUCGUAACCAUACAAAGGAUAGUUAAUUGUUCGUAUGAUGUUUGACUGAAAAAAGUUCAUAUAAUGAUAUGAACGAUAGUAAAUUCAAAUCCAAGGAAAAGAUUGAAAUGGCAUAGGGGUUUCCUGACUCAUCACAAAAGUUAACGGCAUGGGCUUGAAUUUAUCCCCUAGCUAGGCCUAUAGCUGAUGGCAGCCACUAGCAGUUUGCUCACACCUGGUGAUCAGAACUAACGAUGGAAUGAUGGUUGGUAGCUAGAAAAUAAAACAAAAAUUGGGGGCCCUAGUAAUUAGAGGUCAUGUUCCCUCACACUGUUUGCACACCCCUUGGCAGGGCUCUGGUUGUCAACACUUCAUCUUGGGACGGCUACACGAGAAAAUCGAGCGAAAAUGUGGCUAGAGAUGACAAUGGAAGUUGGUGGUGAUGAGCUCAUGCACCAAGCGUGUGGCUGUGGCAAACCACUUUCGCGCUCUAGCAAUGCACAAACAUGGUAUAGAUUGUCGCGACCUACUUCACCUAUAUCACUUUCUCCUUUCUCCUUCUUCCCAUCUCCCUCUUCUCACAAAAAGAAAGAAAUAAACAAAGACGUGGAUUAGACAACUCAAUCUAAAAGAUGUAUACUCUAAGCUAUACCUAACACUAUGCAAAAAUAUUAUACAUGUGUAUAUAACUGCAUUGUAGACAAAUAAUUGUAUGCAAUGCAAUUGCUUCAAAUAGUUAGUGCUAGUAUUUUAUAUCUUGUAUUCUUCAUAUUUUUUUGAUAUAAAAUUGCAUACUAUAUAUGAGUAUGGAAGAUGUUUUGUCUAUCAAAUCAACAUAUGAAGGUUGACGUAUUGUCUCCUUCCUCCAACAUGCAAAAAAUCUCUCUAUGUAAGUUCCAUAUUAACCCCCUGCCUCAUACCAUUAUGCCAUUGUCCUCAGCCACCACAUCUAGGCUUCUCCAUGCGCCUAAACCCAAUAUCGCUAGGCGCCUCCCCCACCCUUCACUCCUCAGCCUACAUACUACAAAAAGUCCAUAUUAGCCCCUGCAUCAUGCCAUUAUGUCACUAUCCUCAGCCACCACAUUAGCCUUGUGGGCUCCAUGUGCCUAGACCCAAUAUCCCUAGGCGCCUUCCUCACCCUUCACCCCUCAUCCCACAUACCACAAAAACAAAAUCGUGUACAUGUCCAUUGCUAGAUCAGUCUGCCUACCUAUUCUAAGCCUAUAUAGGCCACACCAAAGACUUGACCACCCUGACAAGAAUAAUGUCAACAUAUAGGUCACACUUUAGUUGUCUUAAAUCUUGAGAAGGUUUCAAAUGACUAAAGAACAUGAGCGUUACAUGUUAGGAAUGCAACGGUAAACAAUAAUCAAAGAGAUAGAUAGAUAUGUUACUAGAAAUAAACUAAUAAUAGCAUAUAUCCAAUACAGACACUUUAGUGCAUGUUCUGAAACAAAUGUACAAUUUUAACUUAUAUCAGUUAUUCAUGAUCAUGGAGUAACACUCAUGACAUCUAUAUAAACUCAACACUCACAUAACAUAUUACAUAACCAUGUGGUAUAUUAAUACAUUUUGUGUAUAUUAUAUAUGACAACUUACUUAAUAUUCUAGUCUAUUGUAGCACUUUAAACUAAAUGAAUGGUUGUGAUAAGUCAUGUAUAUGCACGAAUAUAGAAUCCACAUCCCAGUGCUCCAAAAAUACAGGUAAACCCUUCUCUAGACAAACCCUAAUAUCCCUAACACCUCCCCCCCCUCAUCCCACACACCACAAAACAAAAUCAUGUCCAUUUAUUUCUACCUAUAGACCUUCUAUAGGCCACACACUAUAGAUUAACAACCCUAGCCUCUAACAAGAAUGAGCAUGGUGUCUAUCUAGGUUCAAGUUUGUAGCCUUAGAUCUUGAGGAGAUUUCAAACAACUAAAGAACGUAUGUCGGCUUUUCAAAUGAAACAAUAAAAAAGAUAAUCAAUUAAAGAGAUAUAUGUUACUAGAAAUAAUUAAACUACUACUAAUAAGAUAUAUUCACUAUAGGCAUUUUUAACUUACGAUUCAAAACAAAUCUACCCAAUUAACAUAUGUCGGCUUUUCACGAGCAUGGAGUACCACUCAUAUAUAACAACUAUAUAAAAAUAACACUUACAUAACAUUGCGGUAAUAUUGAUAUAUAUUAUGUAUAUUAUAUACGACGACAAAUUGCUUAAUACUCCACUUCAUUGUAGAGCUCUAAACUAAAUGGAUGGCCACACAGGUCGCCCUGUCUAGUUUCUAGACAAACCCUACUUUAUUCCGCUAGUCAUUUUAUUUUUUUGGUCUUCAAAAAAAAAAUCAUAUAGAUGCACAUAUAUGCAUGUAUAGAAAAUCCGCGUCGUGGGACCGGGCAGUACAGGUGGGCCCUUUUUCAGUCUCUAGAUAAAACCCUAGUUGGGUUGUUCAAAAAAAAUGCGGUAUCUGGUCGGCAGCCGUUUUAUUUAUUCCCCAGCCUCCACGCUCGCGCUGGACCAAAACUCAGGAGGCGGCGGCCAUGGGUACCUGCUUCUCGUUGGAGGGAGGAGGCAGUAAGAGGAUAGCGCCCCCGCAGAGGUCGCAGAUCCCAAACCCGGAGGAUGAGCAGGUCGAGCCGACCGUUCCGAGCGAGCCGCCGGUCGUCAUCCCAGUCCCAGGUUCUCGCUCCUUCGUUCUCGCUCUCGUGCUCCCGGAAAUGCGGCACCAGUUCUUGCGUUUCUUCGGUUCGGCGGCUUGCUAGUUCGGUGAUCCCUUAGCACGGACCACACAGAGCGCGGUUUCUUGGUUUUGGGGCCGUCGAGAUCGAAUUUUGCACCGGAGUUUGUGGGGGGUUUUGCUAUU
rnacentral:lncRNA from 1 species